GGCUCCUUGUAUUUUAAAAAUAGGGAGUCGGACCUGCCCAGUGAAAUUUUUUAACGGCCGCGGUACUCUGACCGUGCAAAGGUAGCAUAAUCAUUUGCCUUAUAAUUGAAGGCUUGUAUGAAUGGUUUGACAAGAAUAAAGCUGUCUCUUUAUAAUUAAUUUGAAUUUUAUUUAUAGGUGAAGAAGCCUAUAUUUUAUUGAAAGACAAGAAGACCCUAUCGAGCUUUAAAAAAAUUAAUAAACUUAAAAAUUAGUAUUUGUAAUACAAAUUUUACUAUUAAAUCAUUUUAGUUGGGGCGACUGAGGAACAAACAAAGCUUCCUGUGUAAAUAUUAAUACAUUCAAGUACUGAUCCAAAAAUUUUGAUUAAAGAAAUUAGUUACCGUAGGGAUAACAGCAUUAUCUUUUUUGAGAGUUCUAAUCGAAAAAAAGGUUUGUGACCUCGAUGUUGGAUCAGAAUAUCCUAAAGAUGCAGCCGUCUUUAAGGGUUGGUCUGUUCGACCAUUAAAAUUCUACGUGAUCUGAGUUCAGACCGGCGUGAGCCAGGUCAGUUUCUAUCUUCAAUUUCUGUAGUAAACUUAGUACGAAAGGACCAAUUUACUGUAAAGUAUUUAUUUUAUUUGAUAAAAUAUAAAGUAUUAUUAAAUAAAUGAUAAUCUGUAUCUAAAAUCAAAUUAGCAAAGAUUUAAUGCAAUUGAUUUAGGAUCAAUAGACAUAGGUGAAAUUCCUUUAUUUGAUAAAUAAAGGUGGCAGAUGAA
rnacentral:rRNA from 1 species